rnacentral:tRNA from 1 species
GAGGUGUAUUAACAAUUAGAGCUGCUAACUCAAAUAACUAAGAAUAAAUCCUUAGACCUCUUA